GCCUGACCCAGCCACGCCGCGUGUGUGAUGAAGGCUUCGGGUCGUAAAGCACUGUGGGGAGAGACGAAACAGCGCAUCAGGAAAUGGUUGCGCCUUGACGGUACCNCCAKUAGCAAGCACCGGCUAACUCUGUGCCAGCAGCCGCGGUAAUACAGAGGGUGCAAACGUUGCUCGGAUUUACUGGGCGUAAAGCGCGUGUAGGCGGACUCGCAAGUCGGUUGUGAAAUCCCUGGGCUCAACCUAGGAACUGCAUCCGAAACUGCUUGUCUUGAGUAAUGGAGAGGGUGGCGGAAUUCCCGGUGUAGAGGUGAAAUUCGUAGAUAUCGGGAGGAACAUCAGUGGCGAAGGCGGCCACCUGGACAUWUACUGACGCUGAGACGCGAAAGCGUGGGGAGCAAACAGGAUUAGAUACCCUGGUAGUCCACGCCGUAAACGAUGAGAACUAGGUGYAGCGGAUAUUGAC
rnacentral:rRNA from 1 species